rnacentral:misc_RNA from 1 species
AGUCGUAACAAGGUUUCCGUAGGUGAACCUGCGGAAGGAUCAUUACCAAUCUCUAGAUGCUUGUGUGGCAACACACUUGCGUUCUAACACAUUGUGAACCAGUAACUGCUUUGGCGUGAGCGUAUGCGAUCGCCGGAGGAGCCCUUGGCGGAGGAACAGCUAUUGUUCGUAACUCUGCCAAAGGAACAACUUUAACCUUUUGUAAAUUAUUCUUAAAAUAAACAAAACAAAAUACAACCUUUAGCAAUGGAUCUCUUGGUUCCU